rnacentral:rRNA from 1 species
GACGAACGCUGGCGGCGUGCCUAAUACAUGCAAGUCGAACGCAGAAGGAGGAGCUUGCUUCUCUGGACGAGUUGCGAACGGGUGAGUAACGCGUAGGUAACCUGCCCGGUAGUGGGGGAUAACUAUUGGAAACGAUAGCUAAUACCGCAUAAUAGCAGUUGUUGCAUGAUAACUGUUUGAAAGGUGCAAUUGCACCGCUACCAGAUGGACCUGCGUCGCAUUAGCUAGUUGGUGGGGUAACGGCUCACCAAGGCGACGAUACAUAGCCGACCUGAGAGGGGGGGCGGCCACACUGGGACUGUGACACGGCCCAGAGUCCUACGGGAGGCGGCAGUAGGGAAUCUUCGGCAAUGGGCGGAAGACUGUCCGAGCGACGCCGCGUGAGUGAGGAAGGUGUUCGGGUCGUGUAGCUCUGUUGUAAGAGAAGAACGAGUGUGAGAGUGGAAAGAUCACACUGUGACGGUAACUUACCAAAAAGGGACGGCUAACUACGUG